AGAGUUUCGAUCCUCGGCUCGAGGACGAACGCUGGCGGCGUGCUUAACACAUGCAAGUCGAACGGAAGGCCCUUUCGGGGGUACUCGAGUGGCGAACGGGUGAGUAACACGUGGGUGAUCUGCCCUGCACUUUGGGAUAAGCCUGGGAAACUGGGGUCUAAUACCGAAUAUACCCUGCUGGUCGCAUGGCCUGGUAGGGGAAAGCUUUUGCGGUGUGGGAUGGGCCCGCGGCCUAUCAGCUUGUUGGUGGGGUGAUGGCCUACCAAGGCGACGACGGGUAGCCGGCCUGAGAGGGUGACCGGCCACACUGGGACUGAGAUACGGCCCAGACUCCUACGGGAGGCAGCAGUGGGGAAUAUUGCACAAUGGGCGCAAGCCUGAUGCAGCGACGCCGCGUGAGGAAUGACGGCCUUCGGGUUGUAAACCUCUUUCAGCACAGACGAAGCGCAAGUGACGGUAUGUGCAGAAGAAGGACCGGCCAACUACGUG
rnacentral:rRNA from 1 species